UACGUAGGUGGCAAGCGUUGUUCGGAUUUACUGGGCGUAAAGGGCGCGUAGGCGGCCACCGCAAGUCGACUGUGAAAUCUCCGGGCUUAACCCGGAAAGGUCAGCCGAUACUGCGGGGCUAGAGUGCAGAAGGGGCAACUGGAAUUCUCGGUGUAGCGGUGAAAUGCGUAGAUAUCGAGAGGAACACCUGCGGCGAAGGCGGGUUGCUGGGCUGACACUGACGCUGAGGCGCGAAAGCUAGGGGAGCGAACGGG
rnacentral:rRNA from 1 species